rnacentral:rRNA from 1 species
AGUGAACGCUGGCGGUAGGCCUAACACAUGCGAGUCGAACGGCAGCACAGUAAGAGCUUGCUCUUACGGGUGGCGAGUGGCGGACGGGUGAGGAAUACAUCGGAAUCUACUUUUUCGUGGGGGAUAACGUAGGGAAACUUACGCUAAUACCGCAUACGACCUACGGGUGAAAGCAGGGGAUCUUCGGACCUUGCGCGAUUGAAUGAGCCGAUGUCGGAUUGGCUAGUUGGCGGGGUAAAGGCCCACCCAGGCGACGAUCCGUAGCUGGUCUGAGAGGAUGAUCGGCCACACUGGAACUGGGACACGGUCCAGGCGCCUACGGGAGGCAGCAGUGGGGAAUAGUGGACAAUGGGCGCAAGCCUGAUCCAGCCAUACCGCGUGGGUGAAGAAGGCCUUCGGGUUGUAAAGCCCUUUUGUUGGGAAAGAAAAGCAGCAGGUUAAUACCCCGCUGUUCUGACGGUACCCAAAGAAUAAGCACCGGCUAACUUCGUG